CUAUGAUUUACUUGACCUUGACUUCUUACUUGGAUAACUGUGGUAAUUCUAGAGCUAAUACAUGCACCAAAGCUCCAAUCUCCCCAGAGCGGAGCGCAUUUGUUCGCCACAAAACCAAGCGCCCUCCGGGCGUCCAGUGUUGACUCAGAACAACUAAGCUGAUCGCACGGUCUUGUACCGGCGACGUGUCUUUCAAGUGUCUGCCUUAUCAACUUUCGAUGGUAGUGUAUCUGACUACCAUGGUGAUGACGGGUAACGGAGGAUAAGGGUUCGACUCCGGAGAAGGGGCCUGAGAAAUGGCCACUACGUCUAAGGAUGGCAGCAGGCGCGCAAAUUACCCACUCUCAACGCGAGGAGGUAGUGACGAGAAAUAACGAGACCGAUCUCUUAUGAGGCCGGUCAUCGGAAUGGGUACAAUUUAAACCCUUUAACGAGUAUCUAUGAUAGGGCAAGUCUGGUGCCAGCAGCCGCGGUAAUUCCAGCU
rnacentral:rRNA from 1 species